UAAGCAUAUCAAUAAGCGGAGGAAAAGAAACCAACAGGGAUUGCCUCAGUAACGGCGAGUGAAGCGGCAAAAGCUCAAAUUUGAAAUCCCCCCGGGGAGUUGUAAUUUGAAGAUUGCGUCUUGGAGGCGACCGUGUCUAUGUUCCUUGGAACAGGACGUCACAGAGGGUGAGAAUCCCGUGCGGCACGGCCCCCGGCUCCUUAUAAGGCGCUCUCGACGAGUCGAGUUGUUUGGGAAUGCAGCUCAAAGUGGGUGGUAAAUUCCAUCUAAAGCUAAAUACAGGCGAGAGACCGAUAGCGAACAAGUACAGUGAUGGAAAGAUGAAAAGCACUUUGAAAAGAGAGUGAAACAGCACGUGAAAUUGUUGAAAGGGAAGGGCAUGCCGUCAGAUUGUCAGUGUGGGUAAGAAGCGGGGUACAAAGACUGUGGAACGUGGCCCUCGGGUGUUAUAGCCGCAGUUCAUGCCCCGUCUCUUUCCGAGGCCUGCUUUGAGGACACCGACGUAAUGACGGUACGCCGCCCGUCUUGAAACACGGACCAAGGAGUCUAACGUCUAUGCGAGUGUGUGGGUGUCAAACCCAAACGCGUAAUGAAAGUGAACAGAUGAGUUUCAUCAUCGACCGAUCCUGAAGUGUUCGGAUGGAUUUGAGUAAGAGCAUAGCUGUUGGGACCCGAAAGAUGGUGAACUAUGCCUGAAUAGGGUGAAGCCAGAGGAAACUCUGGUGGAGGCUCGUAGCGGUUCUGACGUGCAAAUCGAUCGUCGAAUUUGGGUAUAGGGGCGAAAGACUAAUCGAACCAUCUAGUAGCUGGUUCCUGCCGAU
rnacentral:rRNA from 1 species